UUGUGAACAAAAUUGUGGCUAGCCAUUGAUUUGAAGUCUUAUCUCUAGUCUUAUGUUUCUGUUUGGGAGAUUGAUAAACUUAGAAAGGUAUUGAUUUUAAGCUUUGCCCUGCCUCUGACAUAAUCUGAAGAACUAUAAUUACUCUGAUCCUAAAUGUGGCAUGAAUACACUGUUUUCAAUUAAGAUUUAAAUGUUUCUUGUUAAGUUCAAAAAUUUGUUCUCUGCCUUUGUUUCAGAAUGCUUUGGUGUUGCUUUGGUGUAAAGUUUUGCUAGGUCAAGAGAAGAUGGUUUAAUACCUCAACUUAAGUUCGGCAGAAGUGGAUGCAACAACUCAGAGGGACAAUGUUGAACUUGUAGCUGAAAAUGAUCGGAGUACCCCCAUAUCUGCAGAUCAACCAAACAAGGAGCAACCUGUGGAUUCAACGUCUCCCUUGUCCGGUACUUCAUUAUCAUAAAAGCCAACUGAUGAUGUUGGUAAACAUGCCACAGAUGAUGUGAAAGUUUUAGCAGUUGAAACUGUUUCUGAAAUUGCCACUGUAUCUACAAAUGGUGAGUCUGUCAAAGAAAAUGCUUUUGAGGAGGAUCCUCCCCAAACUUCCAAAGGAAUUGAAGCCCCAAGUGAUGAACUCACUAAUAUUGGCCAAACUAACAAGCCUAGGGAUCUGGAUGCGAAUCAAAAUGUGAAUCAAGAGAGAUCAGAAUCUGUGGGUGCUUAUAUUGUUCCUAGACCUAAAGAUGGUGAUGUAAAGACACAAAUUACAUAGCCUUGUAGUUUUUUAUUGUAUACCAUUAUAUGGUAAAGACACAAAUUAUAUUCUAUGAAUCCACACAAAUGUAAAAUGUUACAUUAUCAUAAUGAAUACUUGAAGGAUGAAAACUAAAUUUUAUAUAUAUACUUAUUACUAUUAUUUCUAUUU